rnacentral:rRNA from 1 species
AGCUCCAAUAGCGUAUAUUAAUGCUGUUGCAGUUGAAACGCUCGUAGUUGGAUUUCUGGAUGAGACGCGUGGUCGGCCACUGGCUGAACAACGCGGCUUGUCCUUUUGUCCAAGGAAGUUGCACGCAAGUGUGACUGACUUGGGCCAGUUACUUUGAGAAAAUUAGGGUGUUCAAAGCAGGCCAAUGCCUUGAAUACGUUAGCAUGGAAUAACGGAAUAGGACUUUGGUUCUAUUUUGUUGGUGUCUAGGACCGAAGUAAUGAUUAAUAGGGACAGUUGGGUUAAAAAAAGGUUAAAAAGGGACAGUUGGGGGCAUUCAUAUUUAAUUGUCAGAGGUGAAAUUCUUGGAUUUAUUAAAGAUGAACUACUGCGAAAGCAUUUGCCAAGGAUGUUUUCA